rnacentral:tRNA from 1 species
UGUCCAGGGAUGGGAAUCGAACCCACUGUGUUCCGCCUACCGGGCAGAUGCCAUGUCCACUAGGCUACCCUGAU